AGCAGCCGCGGUAAUUCCAGCUCCAAUAGCGUAUAUUAAAGUUGUUGCAGUUAAAAAGCUCGUAGUUGAAUUUCGGGAUUGGCGCAUCGGUCGUGCCUCACGGGGUAUGAACUGGUGCAGUCAAUUUCUCACCUUCUGGAGAACCGCGAUGUCCUUAAUUGGAUGCCGCGGGGAACCAGGACCUUUACUUUAGAAAAAUUAGAGUGUUUAAAGCAGGCAUUUUUGCUUGAAUACAUUAGCAUGGAAUAAUAAAAUAGGACGGCAUGGUUCUAUUUUGUUGGUUUCUAGGACCACCGUAAUGAUUAAUAGGGAUAGUUGGGGGCAUUAGUAUUCAAUUGUCAGAGGUGAAAUUCUUGGAUUUAUUGAAGACUAACUACUGCGAAAGCAUUUGCCAAGGAUGUUUUCAUUAAUCAAGAACGAAAGUUAGGGGAUCGAAGACAAUCAGAUACCGUCGUAGUCUUAACCAUAAACUAUGCCGACUAGGAAUCAGACGAUGUUAAUUUUUUAAUGACUCGUUUGG
rnacentral:misc_RNA from 1 species